rnacentral:rRNA from 1 species
AGGAUGAACGCUGGCGGUUAUGCCUAACACAUGCAAGUCGUACGAGAGUUUUUUAACUCUAGUGGCGGACGGGUGAGUAACACGUGAGAAUUUGCCUUUUAGGAGGGGGAUAACAAUUGGAAACGAAUGCUAAUACCCCAUAUGCUUUUUGAGUGAAAUGGAUUUUAUCCGCCUAGAGAGAAGCUCGCGGCUGAUUAGCUUGUUGGUAAGGUAAGAGCUUACCAAGGCGACGAUCAGUAUCUGGUUUGAGAGGACGAUCAGACACACUGGAACUGAGACACGGUCCAGACUCCUACGGGAGGCAGCAGUGGGGAAUUUUCCGCAAUGGGCGAAAGCCUGACGGAGCAAUACCGCGUGAGGGAAGAAUGCCUAUGGGUUGUAAACCUCUUUUUUCAGGGAGGAACAAAAUGACGUGUACCUGAAGAAUAAGCAUCGGCUAACUCCGUG